AGAGUUUGAUCCUGGCUCAGGACGAACGCUGGCGGCGUGCCUAAUACAUGCACGUCGAGCGGAUGAUGAGAGAAGCUUGCUUCUCUCUGAUUUAGCGGCGGACGGGUGAGUAACACGUGGGUAACCUACCUUAUAGAUUGGGAUAACUCCGGGAAACCGGGGCUAAUACCGAAUAAUACUUUUAAACACAUGUUUGGAAGUUGAAAGACGGUUUCGGCUGUCACUAUAAGAUGGACCCGCGGCGCAUUAGCUAGUUGGUGAGGUAACGGCUCACCAAGGCAACGAUGCGUAGCCGACCUGAGAGGGUGAUCGGCCACACUGGGACUGAGACACGGCCCAGACUCCUACGGGAGGCAGCAGUAGGGAAUCUUCCACAAUGGACGAAAGUCUGAUGGAGCAACGCCGCGUGAGUGAAGAAGGAUUUCGGUUCGUAAAACUCUGUUGCAAGGGAAGAACAAGUAGCGUAGUAACUGGCGCUACCUUGACGGUACCUUGUUAGAAAGCCACGGCUAACUACGUGCCAGCAGCCGCGGUAAUACGUAGGGCGCAAGCGUUAUCCGGAAUUAUUGGGCGUAAAGAGCUCGUAGGCGGUUUGUCGCGUCUGCUGUGAAAGCCCGGGGCUCAACCCCGGGUCUGCAGUGGGUACGGGCAGACUAGAGUGCAGUAGGGGAGACUGGAAUUCCUGGUGUAGCGGUGAAAUGCGCAGAUAUCAGGAGGAACACCGAUGGCGAAGGCAGGUCUCUGGGCUGUAACUGACGCUGAGGAGCGAAAGCAUGGGGAGCGAACAGGAUUAGAUACCCUGGUAGUCCAUGCCGUAAACGUUGGGCACUAGGUGUGGGGGACAUUCCACGUUUUCCGCGCCGUAGCUAACGCAUUAAGUGCCCCGCCUGGGGAGUACGGCCGCAAGGCUAAAACUCAAAGGAAUUGACGGGGGCCCGCACAAGCGGCGGAGCAUGCGGAUUAAUUCGAUGCAACGCGAAGAACCUUACCAAGGCUUGACAUGAACCGGAAAGGCCUGGAAACAGGUCCCCCACUUGUGGCCGGUUUACAGGUGGUGCAUGGUUGUCGUCAGCUCGUGUCGUGAGAUGUUGGGUUAAGUCCCGCAACGAGCGCAACCCUUGUCUUUAGUAGCCAGCGGCUAGGCCGGGCACUCUAGAGAGACUGCCAGGGAUAACCUGGAGGAAGGUGGGGAUGACGUCAAAUCAUCAUGCCCCUUAUGAUUUGGGCUACACACGUGCUACAAUGGCGUAAACAAAGGGAAGCGACCCCGUGAGGGUGAGCAAAUCCCAAAAAUAACGUCUCAGUUCGGAUUGUAGUCUGCAACUCGACUACAUGAAGCUGGAAUCGCUAGUAAUCGCGAAUCAGAAUGUCGCGGUGAAUACGUUCCCGGGUCUUGCACACACCGCCCGUCA
rnacentral:rRNA from 1 species